rnacentral:lncRNA from 1 species
CCCCAAAAUCCCCAACUCCAUUAUCUUUCAAAUUGGUUCCGUAGCCCCCAAAUCCCUUAAACCCAAAUCACUCCAUUAUCUUCCAAAUGAAAACAUUCAGCCCAAAAUCUCCAACUCCAUUAUCUUCCAAAUUGGUUUCGUAGCCCCCAAAUCCCUUAAACCCAAAUCACUCUAAAACGAAACCCAGCAACACCACUCUAGCUUCUUCACUUGUCUUCACCAUCUUCUUCCAAGUAUGUUUUAUUUUUCAUUUUAUUUAUUUCUGUUUUGGUAUUCGAUUUGCAUGGUGAUGGGUUUUGUUUUAUAUAAUGAUGGGUUUUGUUUGAUAGAAUUUGGGUCUUGAUUUUCCAUUAAUUUUUUUAUUUGACGAUAUGUUCCAUUUUGUAUGAGUGUAUGGACUGUUCAAAAAUAUACACUAUAUAUUUAUAUAAUUGAGAUGCAGAGUAGUAUAAGGGUUUCGUUUUCUAUGAUGAUGAUUUUCGUUUUUUGGCAUUUGGCCUUGACCUUUCAUGGAAAUUUUAAUUUGAUGAUGGGUUUCGUUUUGUAUAAGUGUUUGGAGUGUUGGAAAAUGAACAUUGUAUAUUUUAGAUAGCUGAGUUCCAUAGUAAUAAAAAGCUACGAAUUUGUUUUCUUUGUAUUGAAAUGUAUUUUGACCAUAUUAUGUUGUCUGAUUAGUGAUAGUUUUAUGUUUGUCAAUUCCAGGAGUCUCUUAAUCGCAACGUCAUCUAGCAAAAGUGACUUCGAAACUCACUGUGAAUAUGUGAAGAAUGCGGUGAUCAUAAGGAGUUGUUAACUGUAGGAGCAUUGAAUGUGCAGAAGACCGAAAGUAUAACAACAAGAAAUUUGACAUCUUAGAAAGCUAGCAGUGUAGAUUGAAUGUUUAUUGUUUAUAGAUGAACUAGCAAUAGUACUUAACUGUAAUUCUCAGUGAAUGUAGCUGAUCUUCAUGUGGUUUCUUUCUGUUCUUAAUCCUGCUCUAUUCAAAGAGCAUGUGAAAUCUGUCUUGGUUGUUUUUCUGAGCUUGACAUGGAAACUGAUAUAUUAUAGGCACUUCACCAAUAUUUUUUUCCAUAAUCUUUCAUUUUCUUAAUCACUUUGGAAAAUUUCUUUGGGAAUACAACAACAAGUUCUUUGGG